rnacentral:rRNA from 1 species
UACCAGCACCCCGAGUGGUCGGGACGAUUAUUGGGCCUAAAGCAUCCGUAGCCGGUUUUACAAGUCCUCCGUUAAAUCCAACUGCUUAACAGAUGGGCCGCGGAGGAUACUAUAAGACUAGGAGGCAGGAGAGGCAAGCGGUACUCAGUGGGUAGGGGUAAAAUCCGUUGAUCCAUGGAAGACCACCAGUGGCGAAGGCGGCUUGCCAGAAUGCGCUCGACGGUGAGGGAUGAAAGCUGGGGGAGCAAACCGG